AUUGAACGCUGGCGGCAGGCCUAACACAUGCAAGUCGAACGGUAACAGGAAGCAGCUUGCUGCUUUGCUGACGAGUGGCGGACGGGUGAGUAAUGUCUGGGAAAUUGCCUGAUGGAGGGGGAUAACUACUGGAAACGGUAGCUAAUACCGCAUAACGUCGCAAGACCAAAGAGGGGGACCUUCGGGCCUCUUGCCAUCGGAUGUGCCCAGAUGGGAUUAGCUAGUAGGUGGGGUAACGGCUCACCUAGGCGACGAUCCCUAGCUGGUCUGAGAGGAUGACCAGCCACACUGGAACUGAGACACGGUCCAGACUCCUACGGGAGGCAGCAGUGGGGAAUAUUGCACAAUGGGCGCAAGCCUGAUGCAGCCAUGCCGCGUGUAUGAAGAAGGCCUUCGGGUUGUAAAGUACUUUCAGCGGGGAGGAAGGGAGUAAAGUUAAUACCUUUGCUCAUUGACGUUACCCGCAGAAGAAGCACCGGCUAACUCCGUG
rnacentral:rRNA from 1 species